AUUGAACGCUGGCGGCAUGCCUUACACAUGCAAGUCGAACGGUAACAGGUUAAGCUGACUAGUGGUGAACGGGUGAGUAAUGUAUCGGAACGUGCCCAGUCGUGGGGGAUAACUACUCGAAAGAGUGGCUAAUACCGCAUACGACCUGAGGGUGAAAGCGGGGGACCGUAAGGCCUCGCGCGAUUGGAGCGGCCGAUAUCAGAUUAGCUAGUUGGUGGGGUAAAAGCCCACCAAGGCGACGAUCUGUAGCUGGUCUGAGAGGACGACCAGCCACACUGGGACUGAGACACGGCCCAGACUCCGACGGGAGGCAGCAGUGGGGAAUUUUGGACAAUGGACGCAAGUCUGAUCCAGCCAUGCCGCGUGCGGGAAGAAGGCCUUCGGGUUGUAAACCGCUUUUGUCAGGGAAGAAACGAGUUUCUCUAAUACAGAGACUUAAUGACGGUACCUGAAGAAUAAGCACCGGCUAACUACGUGCCAGCCGCCGCCGUAACAC
rnacentral:rRNA from 1 species